UUUGUUUUGUUCUGUUUGUGAGACAGGGUCUCACUUGGUAGCCCAGGCUGGAGUGCAGUGAUGCAAACACGGCUCACUGCAGCCUCGACCUCCUGGGGCCGAGCGAUUUUCUUGCCUCAGCGCCCCAAGGAGCUGGGACUACAGGCGUGCGCCACACGAUGGGCUAAUUUUUGUAUUUUUUGUAGAGACGGGAUUUCACCGUGUUGCCCAGGCUGGUCGCGAAGGGAAAGUAAGUUUUUUUUUUGUUUUGUUUUGUUUUUUUUGUUUUUUUUUUUGAUACAGGGUCUCGCUCUGUCGCCCAGGCUGGAGUGCAGUGGCGCGAACUCGGCUCACUGCAAGCUCCGCCUCCGGGGUUCACGCCAUUUCCUGGCUCAGCCUCCCCAGUAGCUGGGACUACAGGCGCCCGCCACAACUCCCGGCUAAUUUUUUUUCUCUUUCUUUCUUUCUUUCUUUCUUUCUUUCUUUCUUUCUUUUUAGUAGAUACGGGGUUUCACCGUGUUGGCCAGGAUGGUCUCGAUCUCCUGACCUCGUGAUCCGCCUGCCUCGGCCUCCCAAAGUGCUGGGAUUACAGGCGUGAGCCACCGCGCCCGGCGGUAAAUUCUUUUUAAAAAGCGUUUAUUCCGAUGGAUUUCCUGGCAUCCCGUGGGGCAGACAACGGGCUGAGGCCUCCAGUAAACCUUCUGCGCGAUGGAGCUGCGGGGGCUCAGCUGCGCUGUUUUUGGCAGAGUGGGGAGAACGCCAGGAAAAAUGGAGAGACACCAAGAAAGAAGGAAAAUCAUGGGGACCCUUAGGCCGAAGCAGCCCUAUAUUAAGUUUAAAGAAGAAAGCAGGCGGCUUCCUGUGAUGGUAUAUUGGUUAGUACUCUGCAUCGCGGCCAAGGGUGGAAUCCCAGUCAUGGCAGUGUCCCUCCUGGGGCGUGGCACUCCUCCUUUCCUUUAGACUCCAACCUCUGCCUAGGCUGCGCUUUUACCUGCGACUAGAGAGGUUACAACUUACCAGUGCCUUCGGAGCUCUGUGCAGUGAUAUUUCAAACAUCCGUGGGGCCUUUUAAGGCCGAAUCAGAAACAAGCGAGAGGACAUGAGGCUAGUUUGCACUCCAACUGGGAAUUUUAAGUAAAGCCUAAAGAAUACAAUAAAAUCUAAACUUAAUGUCAUUCCCCAACACCCAAAUGUUAUUUGUUUUUAUUUAUUUAUUUGUUUAUGUAUUUUUGCUAUCAGUAAAUGACUGAAGUAUAAUCCACACAGACCAAAGUGUUCCAAUCUGAAGUGCACAGCCCAGUGCAUUUUGACGUAAGAAACCAUCACCCAGAUCAAGUUACGGGACAUUUUCACCAGCCCAAAAAGUCAUCAGAGCCCCUUUCCAGUCAGUCCUCACCCCAUCCCCACUUAGGCAAUCAACAUUCUGAUUUCUAUCU
rnacentral:lncRNA from 10 species